CUAAUACCGCAUAAGACCACAGCACCGCAUGGUGCAGGGGUAAAAACUCCGGUGGUACAGGAUGGACCCGCGUCUGAUUAGCUGGUUGGUGAGGUAACGGCUCACCAAGGCGACGAUCAGUAGCCGGCUUGAGAGAGUGAACGGCCACAUUGGGACUGAGACACGGCCCAAACUCCUACGGGAGGCAGCAGUGGGGAAUAUUGCACAAUGGGGGGAACCCUGAUGCAGCGACGCCGCGUGAGUGAAGAAGUAUUUCGGUAUGUAAAGCUCUAUCAGCAGGGAAGAAAAUGACGGUACCUGACUAAGAAGCCCCGGCUAACUACGUGCCAGCAGCCGCGGUAAUACGUAGGGGGCAAGCGUUAUCCGGAAUUACUGGGUGUAAAGGGUGCGUAGGUGGUAUGGCAAGUCAGAAGUGAAAACCCAGGGCUUAACUCUGGGACUGCUUUUGAAACUGUCAGACUGGAGUGCAGGAGAGGUAAGCGGAAUUCCUAGUGUAGCGGUGAAAUGCGUAGAUAUUAGGAGGAACAUCAGUGGCGAAGGCGGCUUACUGGACUGAAACUGACACUGAGGCACGAAAGCGUGGGGAGCAAACAGGAUUAGAUACCCUGGUAGUCCACGCCGUAAAC
rnacentral:rRNA from 1 species